UACGAAGGGUGCAAACGUUGCUCGGAAUCAUUGGGCGUAAAGCGCACGUAGGCGGCCCUGUAAGUCGGAUGUGAAAUCCCACGGCUCAACCGUGGAAGUGCACCCGAAACUGCGUAGCUAGAGUCCUGGAGAGGAAGGUGGAAUGCUUGGUGUAGAGGUGAAAUUCGUAGAUAUCAAGCGGAACACCGGUGGCGAAGGCGGCCUUCUGGACAGUGACUGACGCUGAGACGCGAAAGCGUGGGGAGCAAACAGG
rnacentral:rRNA from 1 species